rnacentral:rRNA from 1 species
UACGUAGGGGGCUAGCGUUGUCCGGAAUCAUUGGGCGUAAAGAGCGUGUAGGCGGCCCGGUAAGUCCGCUGUAAAAGUCAAAGGCUCAACCUUUGAAUGUCAGUGGAUACUGCCGGGCUAGAGUCCGGAAGAGGCGAGUGGAACUCCUGGUGUAGCGGUGGAAUGCGCAGAUAUCAGGAAGAACACCGGUGGCGAAGGCGGGUCUCUGGGCCGAAACUGACGCUGAGGAGCGAAAGCGUGGGGAGCGAACAGG